rnacentral:rRNA from 1 species
UACGGAGGGGGCAAGCGUUAUCCGGAUUCACUGGGCUUAAAGGGCGCGUAGGCGGGCAAGUAAGUCAGUGGUGAAAUCUCCGGGCUUAACCCGGAAACUGCCAUUGAUACUAUUUGUCUUGAAUACUGUGGAGGUCAGCGGAAUAUGUCAUGUAGCGGUGAAAUGCUUAGAUAUGACAUAGAACACCGAUUGCGAAGGCAGCUCACUAGACGAAUAUUGACGCUGAGGCACGAAAGCGUGGGGAUCAAACAGG